UACGUAGGGGGCAAGCGUUGUCCGGAAUCAUUGGGCGUAAAGCGCGUGUAGGCGGUUCGGUAAGUCUGCUGUGAAAGUCCAGGGCUCAACCCUGGGAUGCCGGUGGAUACUGUCGGACUAGAGUACGGAAGAGGCGAGUGGAAUUCCCGGUGUAGCGGUGAAAUGCGCAGAUAUCGGGAGGAACACCGGUGGCGAAGGCGGUUCUCUGGGCAUUACCUGACGCUGAGGAGCGAAAGUGUGGGGGAGCGAACAGG
rnacentral:rRNA from 1 species